rnacentral:rRNA from 1 species
GUGCUGCAUGGCUGUCGUCAGCUCGUGUUGUGAAAUGUUGGGUUAAGUCCCGCAACGAGCGCAACCCUUAUCCUUUGUUGCCAGCGGUUCGGCCGGGAACUCAAAGGAGACUGCCAGUGAUAAACUGGAGGAAGGUGGGGAUGACGUCAAGUCAUCAUGGCCCUUACGACCAGGGCUACACACGUGCUACAAUGGCGCAUACAAAGAGAAGCAACCUCGCGAGAGCAAGCGGACCUCAUAAAGUGCGUCGUAGUCCGGAUUGGAGUCUGCAACUCGACUCCAUGAAGUCGGAAUCGCUAG